CAUGCUCGGCAUGCAGCCUCCACUGCAGGCUCUGCUCUCAGUGCCAAGUGUCAGUGAGGCUGCGGAUGCAGGAAGGGGGCAAGUAGGUUAUGACCCUGACAAGGGACCUUUUCUGUGUUUGUAUCCAGUGAGCACACUGCCCAACAUUCAGCUCUGGAAAUGCAAGCCAGAGGCACUGGAACGCCCUGGAGCGGGGGUGGAAGGUGCGUUGUCUGGGCCAGUGGGGAUAACAGUGCCUUCAGAGUGUGAGAAAGAAGAGAACAGGAGCUGCAAGAACCAACAUAUUGAACCCUCCCCGACUGUCAGUUCUUGUCCAGGCACAAACGUAUUCCAGCCACACAGUCGUGUAGGGUGGCAUCCACUCAUCUUUCCCAGGGAAGAGAAGGGCAGCUUAAUGCCCUGUCCAGAAUAAUCAGAAUUAAAACAGAGAGUGUG
rnacentral:lncRNA from 1 species